UUGGGUGCUGAGGUAGUUUAUAAAGCUGCGAUCGCUGAUAUGUUUCGCAGAUUUUAAGCUAUCUCGACACCCCA
rnacentral:pre_miRNA from 1 species